UUACGGUCGUAUCACGUUGAAACACCAGCUCCCGUACGAUUACCGAAGUUAAGCAACGUCGAUCCUGAUCACUACUUAGAUGGAUGGCCACUUGGAAAUACCAGGUGCUGUAAG